rnacentral:rRNA from 1 species
GACGAACGCUGGCGGCGUGCCUAAUACAUGCAAGUAGGACGCAGUUGCGAACGGGUGAGUAACGCGUAGGUAACUGCCUAUUAGAGGGGGAUAACUAUUGGAAACGAUAGCUAAUACCGCAUACUAGUAGAUGGAACUGCGUUGUAUUAGCUAGUAGGUAGGGUAAUGGCCUACCUAGGCAACGUAACAGAGCCGACCUGAGAGGGGGAUCGGCCAAAAUGGGUCUGGGCAACGGCCCAGACCCCUACGGGAGGCAGCAGUAGGGAAACUUCGGAAAUGGGGGGAACCCUGACCGAGCAACGCCGGGUUAGUGAAGAAGGUUUUCGGAUCGUAAAGCUCUGUUGUUAAGGAAGCGGUACUUAACCAGAAAGGGACGGCUAACUACGUGCCAGCCGCCGCGGUAAUAC